CGCUGUGCCUCCGUGGUGGAGACGCGCGCCUCAUAAGCGCGACGGUGCCGGUUCGACUCCGGCCGCAGCGACAA
rnacentral:tRNA from 1 species